AAAUGUAAAAGAAAGAAAGUCUGGUUAGUGUUGGUUCUCUCCAGUGAAUUAACUAGUGUUAUCUGCAGAUACACUGGAGAUGCUCCCAAAAGACCACCAAAGCCUGAACAAAGGCAGAUUGAAAAUAUAUUUAACAUAACUAAAAUUAACCAUUUUUUUUUUUUUUUUUUUUUUUUUUUUUUUUUUUUUUUUUUUUUUUUUUUUUUUUUUUUUUUUUUUUUUUUUUUUUUUUUUUUUUUUUUUUUUUUUUUUUUUUUUUUUUUUUUUUUUUUUUUUUUUUUUUUUUUUUUUUUUUUUUUUUUUUUUUUUUUUUUUUUUUUUUUUUUUUUUUUUUUUUUUUUUUUUUUUUUUUUUUUUUUUUUUUUUUUUUUUUUUUUUUUUUUUUUUUUUUUUUUUUUUUUUUUUUUUUUUUUUUUUUUUUUUUUUUUUUUUUUUUUUUUUUUUUUUUUUUUUUUUUUUUUUUUUUUUUUUUUUUUUUUUUUUUUUUUUUUUUUUUUUUUUUUUUUUUUUUUUUUUUUUUUUUUUUUUUUUUUUUUUUUUUUUUUUUUUUUUUUUUUUUUUUUUUUUUUUUUUUUUUUUUUUUUUUUUUUUUUUUUUUUUUUUUUUUUUUUUUUUUUUUUUUUUUUUUUUUUUUUUUUUUUUUUUUUUUUUUUUUUUUUUUUUUUUUUUUUUUUUUUUUUUUUUUUUUUUUUUUUUUUUUUUUUUUUUUUUUUUUUUUUUUUUUUUUUUUUUUUUUUUUUUUUUUUUUUUUUUUUUUUUUUUUUUUUUUUUUUUUUUUUUUUUUUUUUUUUUUUUUUUUUUUUUUUUUUUUUUUUUUUUUUUUUUUUUUUUUUUAUUCUGAAGGUUAUGACUUACAGCUUAGGAAAAAAAAAAAAAAUUCAGUAUAUCAAAAAAUUAGAAUAUUCAAUUUUGAGCUUGAUUAGUUUGAUUUAUUUAGAGUUUAAAUACUGGGUACCUCCGGCUAGUUUAGAACAUGCAACCAAAAUUAUGGGAAAGACUACUGACUUGACAGUUGUCCAGAAGACGAUCAUCGACACCAAGGAGGGUAAGUCACACACUCUUAAAAAAAUA
rnacentral:lncRNA from 12 species